GGAUGAGUGGCGAACGGGUGAGUAACACGUGGGAAAUCUGCCUAGGAGUGGGGGAUAACCAUUUCGGAAACGGAUGCUAAUACCGCAUAUCUUUUUUGAACCGCAUGGUUCUUAAACGAAAGACGGCUUCGGCUGUCGCUCUUAGAUGAUCCCGCGGCGUAUUAGUUAGUUGGUGGGGUAAAGGCCUACCAAGACAAUGAUACGUAGCCGACCUGAGAGGGUGAUCGGCCACACUGGGACUGAGACACGGCCCAGACUCCUACGGGAGGCAGCAGUAGGGAAUCUUCCACAAUGGGCGAAAGCCUGAUGGAGCAAUGCCGCGUGAAUGAAGAAGGUCUUCGGAUCGUAAAGUUCUGUUAUUAGAGAAGAACAAGUCAAGGAGUAACUGUCUUGACUUUGACGGUACCUAACCAGAAAGUCACGGCUAACUACGUGCCAGCAGCCGCGGUAAUACGUAGGUGACAAGCGUUGUCCGGAAUUAUUGGGCGUAAAGGGAGCGCAGGCGGUUGGAAUAGUCUGAUGUGAAAGCCCACGGCUUAACCGUGGAAGGUCAUUGGAAACUGUCCAACUUGAAUGCAGAAGAGGUAAGUGGAAUUCCAUGUGUAGCGGUGAAAUGCGUAGAUAUGUGGAGGAACACCAGUGGCGAAAGCGACUUACUGGUCUGUAAUUGACGCUGAGGCUCGAAAGCGUGGGUAGCGAACAGGAUUAGAUACCCUGGUAGUCCACGCUGUAAACGAUGAGUGCUAGGUGUUGGAGGGUUUCCGCCCUUCGGUGCCGGAGCUAACGC
rnacentral:rRNA from 1 species